UGGGGGUCAGAAGCUCCCAGGGACUCUCAGGAGCAGCUCCGCCGAGGAGCAUGCGCCUAGUUCGAUUCCAGCUCUCACUUGCUCGCUGUGUGGCUGGGGCAAGUCUCCUGACCUCUCUGCGCCUCCGUUUCCUCCUCUGAAAACUGGGCAUGAAAAUAGCACCAGUCGCUGAGCUUGUCCUGGGAAAUGAAGUGGAAGGAGCCAGGCUCCCCUGGGCCUGGAGAAGCGCAGUGCUCACCCUUGAGAGCAGCUUGCGGCUCUGGCCGAGGUCGGCUCAGUGGCCCUGAGCUGCUCUACCCUAAUUUAUGUCCACGGUGAGCCCCUGUCCCCGUCCCUGCCGCAGACCAUGACAUCUUACUCUCAAAGCCUGUCAGAGCCACUAGAAAGGCGAUAAAUCUCCGGCCUUUGCCACCCUCCCCCUCCUCCCCGUAGAGACCACGCUGUCAGAAACGGGUCCGGCCUGUGAAACUGAACCCACCCCGGCACGCCCCGAGAAAGUGGCGGCAUCUGCAGCCGCCAUCGCCUUAUCUGAUGGGAAACCAAUACCCGCCUUUCCCCCGCCCCAGGCUCUGGGGAGAGUUUUGCAGGAGGAGCUUGGCCUUGAUCUAAUCGGGGUUCGCCCCCCAGGACGGGCAAACGUCCACAGAGGGGCCAGGUGGAGCCACAGCCGCCCGGAGGAGAAUCAGGGGGACAGAAGGAGAGUCACAGACCCCCGACCCCGCCACCAGCUCCCGCUCUGGAUCUGUCUUGCCACAGGUUUGGGGCAAUGACGACAGUCCUCUCUUAUUCUCCGGGAAAGGACAUUACUGACUUAUAGAAAGAACAGCCCAAGGGUGGAUCUGGGACUUCAGGGGUGGCUUGGGGUCUUCAGGGGUGGCUUGCCCCAGAGUUCAAAUAAUACCUCCAGAAACUGACUCCCCGGGGCCACUGGGCCCCAUCUAGGCUCUGCUUGGACCUCAUGUGGUCAGAGGUGCUGCCGCAGGUCCCGGCACCACAUGACUCCAGCUCUCCGUGCAGCAGGGAAAGGUGAAAGUCUGUCCCAGCCAGAACCCCCAGGUGGCUGCACUGGUCUGGCUCGAACCUGCACCUGGCCAGGUGAAAGGUCUUUGCUGGACUCAGGCCUCCAAGUUCUGCUGGCCCCAGAGAACUUGGACUCAAAGGGGUCACACAGGGAGUCAACGCCAGCUCAGGCGCCUGGGCGUUGGGAAAGGGAGGCAGACCUCAGAGCGGGCCGAAAGGUAGCAGCCGCAGCUCCUCCCACACGGCCGGCUGGGGCUGCUGGGCACUGCAAGGAGAGCACCACACACCCCACCCAGCUCGCGGCAGAGCCUGAGGUCCAGGAGUCGGCAGCCCGCUGCCUGGGGCUCCUCCCUGCACCCCCAGCCCCACCGCCCGUGGUCCUGCCUUUGCUUCUGCACCUGGUCCCCGUGGCCCCACCUUUCCCUGUGGACACUCUGCCUGCACCAGGCCCCGCAGGGUCACCCAGGACGACCGCGGAUCCUUCACUCACCACACGGCGAGGACCCUGUCCCAGUAAGGCCACGGAGACGGGUGGCAGGGGUUGGCACAGAUACCCGGGGGGCACUUUUGGCCACACGUCAGGGAGGAGAUAACGGCUCUGCAGACGGGCGCAGACCUUGUCUGUACAGACAGAGCCACUGCUGCCGGGGACAAGCCCUAGUCCAUGGAGCUCCUGCAAGGACCUUUGACCCCACCAACGAGUGACAGCGAGCCCCGGCCCACUGAGGCCACCAUGCCCCGGCUGCUCCUCGGAGCUCCCACCCACUUCCCCGGGGGGGGGGGGCUUCUGUGGACCCGGGUACUCCACGAGGAAGCUAAGAUUCAGCUGUCCCUAAAGGCCGCGUGUAGGGGAUGCGGCGCCCCCACGGCUCCCCGUGCACCCUGGGUCCCUGUCGGGAAGCCAUGGCUGGAAGGCACACCAGCCUGAGCCUUGUGCUCUCCAGCCUGGCGCUCGGGCUCCCCGAGGCACCCGCGGCCCUCCAGUGAGCACGCGAGCUUGGGGCCUGGCCCGGGGCGCAGUGGAGAGGAGGGACACUCUCUCUGCCUCCGGGGACUCAGAAUCUCGAAAUAGAAGGUGCCCAGUGAGACCCAGGUAACCUGCUAGACGUGACUUCAACACCGCAGCGGUGGCUUCAGGGGUGCAGACGGGUGGCUUCUGUGCCACAGCUGGGGGGGCGUCUACGUCAUCGACAGACAGAUGGCUUCUAGAACAGGCGUCCGUCUCCCCAGGCUGGAGGCUGAAGUCCUGGCCAGCCUGGCCAUCAUGGCCAGGUUCUAUAGAGGGCUUUUCCCGCUGUGUCCUCACAGGAGCCCUCUGUGCACAGCCACCUUCUUGUAGGGCACUGAUGCCACUGUGGGCCCACCCGUGACUCAUCCAGGCCCCGCUGUCCCAGGGCACCACCUCCAAUGCCCCCAUGUUGGGAGGUCAGGCCAGCAGCACAUGGAUCCGUGGGGCUGCCAACACCCACAGGAAAUGGGUCAGCACCACAGCAUUAGCACAAACCCGUGACCGUGCAGACGAGAGGAAACGUCAGUGUUUGUAGGGCAAGGGUCGCGACACUGGAGCCAUGCAUCCGGCCACUUAGGUUGGCGAAAUGAAACUUGCAACCGGCCUGGUGUCCGAACACACCUCGGGUGGCUUCUCCAUCAAGAGGACUCUCUCAGAUGUUCCCUGGGUGCUGCCAAGCGGCGGACACCCUUGCCCGUGACCCCUCGGGACUCCCAGAGGACGAAGCCCAGGGGUGAAUCACCGGGAGCCUGGGACGCCCAGCUGCAGUCUCGUUUGUGAGCACCCCAGCUGCCUGGUGAUUGACAGGCGGACACGCGGUCCAAUCCAUCACGAGGCCGGAGCACGGAGACAGGUCUGUGCAGAGCUGAAACAGAUGUCAGCGCGGGAGGGUGUUGAAGGGGACGUGGAGGGCCAGCGGCCCGUGUCCUGUCCAUGUUCCAGACGGCCGCUGACCCUGGUUGCUCUCCUUAAAUACGUAACUACAUGCUCGAGUGUUCUGGCAUCCGGAUGCCUAUGGUAAACCAAUUCCCAAUUUUUCAGAAAAAUGAAACAUGCACUCUUUCCUCCUUGGUACGUUGGCAUCAUCUGCCAUGGGGCUAAAGGUCACUCUCAGCAAGCCUUGGUUUCAUCACUUUUAAGUCACAAAGAAGACCCUGGCCCGGACACCAAACAAUCAGCCCUCUGUUCGCCGGGCAUCAAGAAACAGGUCUGAAGCCCUUCCAGAGACUUCGACCCCAUGUUGAUUGACAUUAAGGCAAGCUCUGAGUUUGGGAGUGAAGCAUGUCACACGGACAUUCCCCAGCUUCUCCUGAGGGAUUCCCGGCUGAGGACGCUGGACAGUCCUGGGCCGAACAGAGAGCCAGACCUAAACGCCUGUCCGCGGUGUGAAUGAGGACGCCAGGCCACACGGCUCGGGCUAUCCAGCUGGGGAGACCUGGACGGCUGUGGGGGUGGCUUUCAAGGUUGACCCUAGACCGGACGCUUGGGAUCUCCUGGAAACCUGACCACUCUGUGGUGAGAGGUCAGUCCCGCCCAGCUCCAGGGAUCUCCGACUCCGGGCAUCUGUGUUCCCAACUCUCUCUCUGUCACUUGGACCACACCCGGGUGGGUGACUCCGAAGCCAAUCCAGGACUGUGAGCAGCCACCAGGGGCUCAGGGGGUCCUAACCACAGGGCAGGAAAAGGACCCUGGAGGCCCUGGGCCAUCAGCAGUGACCUUAGCAGCCCUUCCUCAGAGACUGGCCAAGACGUAGCGGCUGAACAGUUAAAGUCCUGCCCGUGCCCUGGCCUGGCCUCUGCAGAGCGGGCCACGUGGGAGCCCUAACACGGCAACGAGCUAAAGGUCAGCUCACCCAGAGCCCUGUCCCCAGGUCCAGGGGCAAGUGCUGAUGAGAGAACGGGACACAGUCCCAGAGACACAGGACGAGGUCAGGUGAAGUCGGGGUGGAGACGGGGGAAGUGGCCACAGCCAAGGACCCCUGGAGCCACGGGAAGCUGGAGGGGCCAGGAAAGAGCCUCCCCGAGCCUUUGGAGGAGGCACAGCCUGCCUCGCCCACCCCCGCCUCCAGGUCGCGAGCAUCCAUUUCUGCUUGAAAAAGCCACCCGUGUUCUGGGGCCACGGCAGCCUCAGAACAUGGACCCAACUAACAGGUCACCCCCAGGCCCACCGGGCACCCCUUGUUUAAGGACAGGAGAAAUUUCCACUUUGAAAGGGGGAAGCUUUGGCAUGGCCCACCUUCUCCAAACACCAGAACCGGCCCUGCUCCUACACAGAGACCAGGAAUGAGGAGCCCCGCUGGCCCCGGCUGGCCCCGGCUGGGAGGGAUGCACGUCCCCAGAGGCCCCGAAGCUGCAAACAGUCCUCAACGGUUGGUCAGCGUCGGCCUCGCCAUCCCUGCAGGAAGCCAGUCUGCAAUCCUGGGUGCUGCCCCAAGCCAAGGCACCCAGGUGCUGACCCUGCGCACAGCCGGGCCUGCUCUGGAGACUCGCACCCUGCAGGUGCCCUCCCGCCACACGCCUGUCCCUAGUCCCAGCCAACUGCAGAGGGUUCCAGAUGCCAGACAUGUUCGCCACUGUCACCAAGGGGCGAAGGUCCUCUAGGGCCUGAGUCCUCCACUCCACCUGACGGGCGUGGGCGCCAGCCAAGUCCACGGCCCCAUGCCCACCAAGGGGCAGAAGCAGCACGGUGCCAUGGCCGAGAGCCUGCGCCAGCCCCACCAGCUGAGCGGGCACACAACCCCCGCCACGGACUAGAGGCUGGGGCGCCAUGAGGGUGGGCUGGGGCUGUGUGAGGGUGGACUGGGGCACCAUGAGGGUGGGGCAAGAUCUCCCCUCCUUGGAGCUGAGUCUCUCGUCUUCAGAAGGGGACGAUGACCCCCCUGUUGUGGGCAUGGAGGGACAGCAUGCUUGACACUCCAGAGGAGAAGCAGUGGGUGGGAUAACACUUGAACUUCCUUCUGUCUCUCGUCUCCCGUGGCCAGUUGUUUGGCGACUUCUGGGCAGUUUGGACUAAAACCAUGAGGCCUUUGGAGUCCAGUGGAAGCAGCAAGUAGGCGGGUUGGAGAGGGGCCUGUGGCUGUGACCCUGCUGGGACACGCGUCCUGUCCACUGCGCGGGCAGGGCCAAGGGGCAGGAACACCUCUGGAGAUAGCAGGGGAGGGGCAGGAGAGCAGGUAGCGUCCCUGGGGCUGGGGGGGAGCUAGAGGAGAGAGGCCAGGUCCCUGAGGCUGGGGACGGACGGGCAGGAGAGAGCGCGAGGUCCCCUGGGCUCCAGGUGCGCAGCGCUGCUCGGUGCCUCGGCCUUCUCCACGCAGGCCUGUCCCCCCCUCGGUGCCCACCAGUCGAGCCCGAGCCCCUGAUGCGUACUUCAGAGCCCUGGCUUCCCUGCUCGCUCGCCAGCUCACCCUCACCAUGGCCACCCCGCCCCACCUCGACCCCACUGUCCCUUGUCCCAGUGCAGGCCAGGCACUGGCCUUCAGCUCAGACCCCCUUCCCAGGAACCUUGUCACCUCCUCUCUGCGUGCCCAGAGCCCCACCUUGAUCCCCCUGCAGCCCCAGGGCUCAGGUCAGUGCCUGGCACACAGUAGGUGCGCAGCAAGUGAAUGGGAUGAGUUGAUUCAAGCGGCACCUGAGCUCCUCAGGAGGCACACGGCGGCCGCAGGCCCCGCGCUGAGGAGCCAGGUGUUCUCCCCCUCUCUCCCCAGCCCUCCCCCCUGGAUUCCCUAAGUUCCUGUUAUGCGUGAGGGACAUUUCAAAGUGUGACAGAAAAUUGUUUUCAGAAUAGAAUGCAAGACUUCUGAAGCAAGGGGUGUGAAGGAAAAGCGUCGAUUCUGAUGACAUUUAGACAGAAAAACAAGGACCAGGCGUCUCGGCUUUGACUUUGGAGCCAGAGUGAGUUUGUUCAAGGUGGGCUCGGGGGUGGAGCCGAAGGGGGACCCAGCGCCCGACAUCAAGCAGGAGGUGUCUCUGGGAGUUCAGGAGGACCUCAAGGCCACAUGGGCCACGGUGACAAUCAGCAGCUGGUGAUAACCACCGUCCCCGGCCUGGGAGCCCUGCCAGGCACCGAGGCUAAGUGGGGGAGCUGACUCGGCCGACCCAGGGUCCCUCGGGCACAGUGGUCAGGACGUAAGGAUACGUCCAUUGCCUUGGAGAUGGUGGCCACCUUUGCCUCAGAGCAGGCGCCAGCCACCAUGGCUACAAGCUGGAGCCCAGAGAACUUUCUGGAGGACUCGAGGGGGGCUGCAUGCCCUUGGCCCCCAGGGAGAUGGACCCCAGUUCUUCUUCCCUGGAGUCGGGCUGGACCAGUAGGACGCUGCAAGUCUCCAAGGCCAGCCCUGCGAGGCCUCACAUCUGCUCCCAGGCCUCCAGGCAGCUGGGGGAACCCCGCAGCCGUCCAGGGGGCCAGCGGAAGAGGCCUCGGGACUGUGCAGGUGGAGGCUGGCUGAGGCCAGGACUCCAGGCUGGUGAGAGGCUUGUCACCACCCAGUGUCCCCGUCUACCCCACAGACCUUCAGGGGUAGUAAGUGGUCGCUCGGCAAACCACUCUGUGGGGACAGCAGGACAGUCCUGGACUCAGGAGGGAGCAAGUCCCAGGGGCCUUCAGUGCCACUAACUCCAACAGCAAAUCGGCAGGUGGAAAAGGCCAUGCCCAUGGCUUGAGCCAGUGCCAAUCCGUUCCCAAAAGUCAGCUGACCUCAAAGUCGGGUGACGGUCCUCACAAGGGUGUCACGGGCUCCAUGUUGAAGGGUGCCGCUGCGGCAGGCAAGUGUCGGCAGGCUGACCUGGGCCAAGCUGGGGCCCAGAGCGGGACGGGGGACAUGGCGCCCAGGGCUCUCAGGACAGGGUGACGGGCCCACCUUUCUGGGCAUCUGUCCCAGGCAGCAUGGUCAGUGUUCACCUCUGGAAUCAGACUUCCCCAACACUGCCCAUGACCAGAGAGAACGUAGGCAUAUCGCACGGCCACUGGAGCCUCCGCUUUUACAUCUGAGGACAAGAUGUCCUGCUGACCAGAAUUCACCAAGGCCCUCCACAGUGGUCCUGACAACCUCCAUCCUAGGCUCACUACUUGCUGGACAAGCUGCCCUGACUCCUGACCAGUCCACUUGCCCGUGAGCAGGAGAGCUGGAGGCUGACGUCAGCUUACAAACCCUCAGCUGUCGACCUCCGUCACUGGUGGAGAAGUCAAGGCACAAGGACCCCAAGUGGUCAGCUCCUGGUCACGGGGCUGCGAGCGCAGAGCCAGGGUCCUGGCCGGACAGUCUGGCUCCAGGCUCUGUCACCAGGGCCGUGCAGUGGGGAUGGGGGACGCACACCCACCCGGGACCUCCAUCGUGACAGCAGGUCCUCAAUCAUCUGGCGACAGACGGAUGGGGACGUCGCUGGAAACAGAAUCCAUCUCUUUUACAACCGUCCUGACGUGUUUAUGGAUCCCAGGUUGUGGGCAGGGGCGGGGCGGGGGUCUUCCGGCCACCCCUGCCCCCGUCCGGGCCAAGUCCAUCCCCUGCAGGAGAAGGAGGGAAAUCACCCAUUUUGAAUGGUCUCUGCCCAGACCCUGUGGACUUUCAGACGUGGCCCAGAAUCCGAGACAGAGGGCAGGGUGAGAGGUCUCUGCCUGGACGCUGGCUGCCCAGGGGCCUGGGCUUGGCCUGGGCGCCUGCCUCCACCUACCAGCUCCUGCUGGGUCCCGUUCCCAGGCACGGCUGGCAGGGCGCCCUGUGGGGAAGGAAGCCCUGGAUACUGACCCCUCCGGCAGCCCAGAGGCCUGGUGUCUGGGGCCAGGCCACCCCCGUGUUAUCCAGGGAGGUACUAAUGUCCAGCACACACUGGGCUCUGGGGCGAGACCCAGGAAACUCCAGUCCCUGAUCCUCGGCACACAACCUCCCCAGGCACAGGACGGAGGCCCAGAGGCAGCGAGGAGCUUCUUCCAGCCCAGGAGGGACCUGAACUUAGAGUCCAGGUACACCAGAGGGGAAGGAAGCCGCGGGGCACCACAGGCUGGCCUCCACAAGCCCAGGCCUCGACCACCGGGCCCGACCGUCCCCAGGUGCUGCAUGGGCACAGCCCUGCAGGAUCACGGACCUGCCCACCCACUAGAGGAGGGGCCUGGAGGACACCCUGGGGCCUGGAGCUACCCCAUGGUCCCCAGGGGAACUGGUCAGAGUGUCAGAGACCUGGGCAGCAGCGGCUCUGAGACAACUAGCUGACCGGAGAGGGAGCCCCCCGCGUGCAGAGGCAAAGCCUGCGACUGCCACACAGGCUCUGAUGGCGGGGACCACCCAUUAGCUACAGGUCGCUUGGGCAAUAAAUGGCCCAGGGCAGAAAGUCCCUCCCUGGGGUGCGGCUGGGGGCAGGAGGCCGUCUGCCCUGGCCCUGGCCUGCAGGCUCCUGGGAGUCUCUUGAAGCAGGAGCGCGAUGGCGAGGAGGGCAGCUGGCAGCACGGCCGGCCACCCGCUCUCCAGGUGUGGAGGUGCUGGCCCCGCUGCCCACACCCACCUCGUGGCCUCAGCACACAGCCCCCUCCAGUGGCCGUGCCCUUCCCUGAGGGGUGGCUGGAGGCCGUGUCCCUGUGGACCACUUGUAGCUCCAAGGUGGCCCCAGACAGCCACCAACGAGGACACCCCCGGCCCUGGCCCCAGAACGCUGCUUCUCCAGCAGCCCGGGGCCCACCUGGGCAGAGAGCGCCUGGCCAGGGUGGCUCUGCCGCAUGCUCUAGUUUCAGGAAGUGUCCACACUUGACGGCAGAGAUGGCCUCCACUGCCUCUGCACAGCUGGACGCUGCACCCGCAGGAAACAGAAGAGGAGCUCACUGGACGGCGGGCCCCGGGGGGAUCGCUGCUGCUGGCCACCGUCCCUGACACUGCGCUGGGGAGCCAGCCGGGGACACUGGAGAGACGCCACAGCACGGGCCCAGCCACGUCCAGCUCUGGGCUGGCCACUUCCCCGAGGGGCAGCACUGCCGAGCUCACAGGGGAGGGUCUGACUCGGGGUCAUUUUCAGAGUUUUAAAAACAGAGCGUCCCCCUUUCCUUUCCGCUGCUGACCAGCCCUGGCUGACUGGCGGGAGCAGGACCCUGCCCCGAGGCCGUUUCGAUCAAGUCUCAGGGAAAAGGUGACUCUGUCAAAACCCAGGCGGCAGGUGGCGGGCGGCUCACAGGCUGCUGGCCCGAGGCCUCCCCUGGCCUCCUUGAACUUUUGAACUUGGGCUCUGCUGAGGAGGUUGGGCCUGGAGCCGGACCCUCCCGGGCCUCCCUCUGCAGGCUGGCCUCCGCAAGACCCGGGCCUCGACCCUCACGGGCCAGACCCACCAACGAAGCGGGUGGCUUGGUCCUGGGGGCACACUCGGGCGCCCUCCCGCCAAGCUCAGCCUCCCCUUGCCCCCUGUGCCACGUAGCUGGCAGCGCACCUGUCCAGGGAGCGCCUCUGCCCAGAGGGCAGCUUCAGAGUCCGCAGGACGGGUCUGUGAGCAGGCGUGGCCCUCAUUCCACCCCAGAGAGGAGGACUGAGGAGCCCCUGGGGGACGGGACCCCUGUGCGGGCACCCCGUCCCUGAGACGCCAUUCCACACCUGGAAACUGGGAGGGAGGCCGAUGCCCAGGCUGGCCGGGCUCGCUGGGCCCUGGGAGUCCAGGCCAAGAUCUAGACCGGCCCAGGAGAGGCCGGGCCUUAGCUGUAGGAAUUAGCUCACUGAGCCGUGGCCACCCGCGGGGUGGUCCACUUUACAGAGAGGACACUGAAGCCCAGAGAGAGCACGUGGCUUGCCCAGGGUCACCGAGUGAAGAACCUGACCCCUGCGCAGCAGGCCUCUGAAGCCGGGCUCCCACCCCACCCGCACGUGGGGACAGAGGCCGGGUGCCUCCACCCGUUCCCGGCACCUGGCCAUCGCCCACCCACUGCUUCGGGACCAGUGGGGCGGAGUGACGAUGGCCACACUGGGCACCUCCCUUCAGAUCACAUCCUCAGCCCCAGCCCUCUCUGCGUGCCUGCGGAGCCGGGCCCUGGGACGCCACCCUGCGGGGACCCCUGCCUGACUGGGGUCCUGCCAUUCCCAGGGCUCCCACUCGCAGCCGAGAAGGAAGCUCCGAGGAAGGCUGGCCUGUCCCCUCCUUCUCCAGGCCCUGCCGCCCCGAGGCCUCGCCCGUCCGUCACCUCGUGGGAGAAGAGCUGCAGAGGGCCUGGUCACUGUGACCCUGGGCAGGGCCGGAGCCUCACUCUGCACUGACAGCCGCUUCCCCUCCCGGGGCACAGGGAGGCCGUCGGAGGGUCACACACUUGCAGGCUCCAGGGGCCCGGGCCACGCGUCCUCCUUGAACCUGAGAGUGGGCGCUGGCGUGGAGAGGGGUCUGCAGAUGUGGCGGGCGGCAGUUGUUCUGGAUUAAGGUGGCCCUGGACAGGCGCAGGGAGACACCAGGGAGGCCACGGGAAGGCAGAGCCGGAGGACCCUGAGCCCGGGGGCUGGAGGGACAGGAGGGAGCCUCGCCUGGAGCCUCUGCAGGGAGCGCAGCCCGCCACCCGCCCGCCCGCCUUCUGCCUGGGGGCUGAGGGUAAAGUCCCCUUAGCCCUCGCCCACGCGCAGGAGGCUGCGACGGCCGGGGGGCACCCGCACUCUGAGGCGCCCAUCAGGGCGGCUCCCAGGCCUCCUGGUCAUGGUGGCUGCCAGGUCCCCUCUGUCCCCCCCGGGUCUGGGCUGUGGCAACUCCCACAGGCCCCUCUCCCUGCACCAGCCACAGCUGUCCAGCUGCCCAGGCAGGAGCCUUGAGAGAAUAGUGUCCCCAGGUCAGCAGGGCAGGGACAGCCUGCCCAAUGUUUGGGGAGUGGGACCUUGUUCACCCCUCAAACCCAAACGCAGAUGUGCAGGGUCAGGGGCCGGCGCUAAUUAACGUAGGAAGGCCGCAUACACUUGACCGGACCGCGAGGUCACAGGGAAGCCUAGAGACGCCCUGCGCUAUUUUUAGCCUUGAGGGUCUCACGAGGGGCCAAGGCUCCAGGGCGGCUGGGCUGGCCAGGGAGGGCGGCUGAGCUGGCCAGGGAGGGUGGCUUGGUGGGGGACAGGGAGGCGAGGAGGAGGGAGGGGCAGGCGCCAGCCCCCGCAGGCCACGCCAGGCCCGGCUGAGCCGUCCAGGUGAGGACUCCGCGGGCAGCUGGGCUGUCCCCAGCCAGUGACGGCUGGGGCCCAGAGCCGGGGAAACCGAGGCACGGACUGGCUCACGAGGCUCAGACUCAGCCUGGGAACGAGGACCAGGGUGGGAAGCAGCAGUCCCCACGGACCCCACACCACAGGUGGCCAGUGGGGAAAGGACCGGAGGCCGAGGCGCAGAGCCCCCGGUCCCAGCCCUCCCCUGCCUGUGGCCUCUGGGUGAGGGUUUGGCACUUGGCACUGCCACCACCCAGCUGUAAAACAGGGUGACGUGAGACGGCCCCAACCAGAGGGCAGCCAGCACCCGGUGGCCUCUCGGUCGCCCUGACCACCCAACCUGGUGCUGGCAUGGGCCAGUUAUGGAGGUGGGGGACAGACACUGUGACCAUGGUGCCCAAGGAUGUUCCAAAGACAGGGUGGCCCCUGGGGCAGCCGCAGGGUGAGUUUAGAGGAAGGCAGCAGAGGUCAGCUCUGGCUGGACAUCCCGGCUGGACUGGGGCGGUGCAGGUGGAGCUCCUGUUACAGGAGACGGGCUUUCCCGCGACUCCCAAGGGCCCUUGUGGGUCAGUGGUCAUUCGGCCCAAUCAGCUGGUGGAGGAGGGUGGCCUCUGGGGCACCUGGGCAGCGCCCGCCCCCACGGCCUCCUUCUCUAGCUGGGGCAGCUCUCGCCGCGCUCCUCGUCCUCCCGCGGCCCCAUCUUUGAAGCCUCUUGAACCUAUAAUCAGAGACGAACUGGGCAGCGUGCGACAAGUCCCUUCAGCUCUCCUUCCAGGGCCCUGCCCAGGUGGACAAGGUGGGAAGGCCAGGAGAGCCCGCACCCUGAGGCAGGGCCGCAGGCACCUUCUGUGCACCGCUAGACUGCUUAAUGCCCUGGCUGGAAAAGCACGUGGGCCGAGGCCGAUACACAGGUGUCAUGGCUGCCUCGCGCAUUCUGCCCUCUACACACGUCUCCCCCUUGCCUCUGUGAGCAGUGCACAACCUGCGCAACCCCACAUAGCACCCCGUUUCUAGAGAUAUUAGGUAAAAUACAAAUGCAAAG